CCUACGGGAGGCAGCAGUGAGGAAUAUUGGUCAAUGGUCGGGAGACUGAACCAGCCAAGCCGCGUGAGGGAUGAAGGUACAGAGUAUCGUAAACCUCUUUUGUCAGGGAACAAAGGCGGGGACGUGUCCCCGGCUGAGUGUACCUUAAGAAAAAGCAUCGGCUAACUCCGUGCCCGCAGCCGCGGUAAUACGGAGGAUGCGGGCGUUAUCCGGGUUUAUUGGGUUAAAAGGGUGCGCCGGCGGUCUGUUAAGUCAGCGGUAAAAGCCCGGGGCUCAACCCCGGCCCGCCGUUGAAACUGGCAGUCUCGAGUUGGAGAGAAGUAUGCGGAAUGCGCGGUGUAGCGGUGAAAUGCAUAGAUAUCGCGCAGAACUCCGAUUGCGAAGGCAGCAUGCCGGCUCCACACUGACGCUGAGGCACGAAAGCGUGGGUAUCGAACAGGAUUAGAUACCCCAGUAGUC
rnacentral:rRNA from 1 species